rfam:Aureobasidium namibiae CBS 147.97 unplaced genomic scaffold scaffold_7, whole genome shotgun sequence.
UCUUCAUUGGUCUAGUGGUCAUGAUUUCCGCUUGUCAGGAGUAAAUUCUCGUCAAGCGCGGGAGACCAGGGUUCGAUUCCCUGAUGGAGAG